CCUAUGAUGCAGGCCUUACUAGGUGCAGU
rnacentral:piRNA from 1 species